rnacentral:lncRNA from 1 species
GGCAGCGACAGCGCCUCCGGCACGGGCCCAGCCCCCGCGGGCAGCGGCCACGGCCGUGCCGGAGCAGCGGCAGCAGCCGCGCCGGGGAGGAGGAGUGCCGGCGGCUUGGCCAGAGCGGCGGCAGCCGGGGCCGGGGCAGGGUCUCCCCGCUCCGCCCGCCGCCGGUGCCCGCAGCCGCCGUGCCCAGCAGUGUCCGGCGGCAGGCGGAGGUGCUCCCCGGCCGGCGAGGCGGGGGUGGUGCCGCGUUGCCGCCGCCGCGGAGCGGAGCGGAGCGGCCGCAUCUUCAUCUUCAUCCUCCUCCUCCCCCUCCCCGCGGCGCGACCCCGCCGGCUGCCCCCGCCCAGAGGGGCGGGAAGGCAGCGGGCGCUGCCCGCGGUCGAGGCGCGGCCCGAAGGGGCUCCGCAUGGCGUUCCCUCACCCGCCCGCUGCCGCCGAUAAAUCCCAGUGCCGAGGGCAGCGCGGCACUUGGCGGCUGCUGCGCUGCGGGGAGGCGGCGGAGCUCGGGCCCCUCCCCGCGGCGGCGACCCCCAACAGGAGCCGGAGCUCAGGCACUCAGCCCUGCAGUGUUUGUCACCCUUCAGCAACAGAUGAAGCAGACAGCGACUCCACCAGCAUGAGUAUGCAGGAGGUCAUCUUCUCUACAAUCAGUGCUGCUCCAGCAGAUCGCUGGGAAAACAAUGAACAGGAUGAAACCUGGAAGCUUUUUGCUGCUCUGUUGAAUAUGGAAUUAUUAAAAAAAAAAAAAAUACUGCACCGAGAGCAUCUCUUUCAAAUGGAUAACUUCUGAACCUGGAACUCUUCAUUACCAACUU